rnacentral:tRNA from 1 species
GCCACCGUGGCUUAGGGGUAUAGCGUCUGAUUCGUAAUCAGACGAUCGUGGGUUCAAAUCCCACCGGUGGCU